ACCACUCUUAUAAUUAGUCAUAUUAUAAUUAGGGUAAAAAUAAUUUAUAGAGGAAAAGAAAAGAACGGAAGAGGGGAAUAACAUAAAGCAGCGUGAACGAAAGAAGAACGCGAGUGCCCUAGACUUCAGAUUGGAAAGGUUCGGAGUCAUUGAAGAAAGCAAAAGUAUUGGAGAAGUAGCUUGCUUGACUUCGGUUCUUCGGUGGAGCGAGUGUACCAGCGAAUUUGACUCGCCCUCAGCUCUAGCCAAUCUCAGCAUAUCAGGUUGUAAGGGGUGAGCCAUUCAUUCGAG